rnacentral:rRNA from 1 species
UUAGGAAUCUUCCACAAUGGGCGAAAGCCUGAUGGAGCGACACUGCGUGAGGGAUGACGGCCUUCGGGUUGUAAACCUCUAAAACGGGGACGAAUAAUGACGGUACCCGUUGAGAAGCACCGGCUAACUCCGUGCCAGCAGCCGCGGUAAUACGGAGGAUGCAAGCGUUAUCCGGAAUCACUGGGCGUAAAGGGCGCGUAGGCGGUCCUGUAAGUCCGAUGUUAAAGACCGGGGCUCAACCCCGACACGCCGUUGGAUACUGCUGGGCUUGACGGCUGGAGAGGCGAGUGGAAUUACCAGUGUAGCGGUGGAAUGCGUAGAUACUGGUAGGAACACCCAUUGCGAAGGCAGCUCGCUGGACAGCACGUGACGCUGAGGCGCGAAAGUGUGGGGAGCAAACCGGAUUAGAUACCCGGGUAGUCCACACCCUAAACGAUGCACACUUGGUGUUGGCCCGUUGGGGUCAGCGCCGGAGCUAACGCGUUAAGUGUGCCGCCUGGGAAGUACGGCCGCAAGGUUG